GCGGACGCGUGCACACAACGACCGCACAGUCUGCAGCGCCGGCAGUUGGCGCACGGCUCCUACUCAAUAGCUCUCAUCGUUUCCACCGGCCAUUUUCCUUUUAAGACCCUGAUGCGUUCCGGCUUUUCGUGCCUCACGUGCGGCAGGGGGGUGGGUGGGCGGUGACUACUACGCAGAACAGAACUCUGAAGUUUCAGAACGAGAGUGGCGCCGGACCCCCCGUCUCCGAUACAACAAUACGAGCACACAGGAUCACGUCCCUAGCUGAAUCACUCCACCGGUAGCUUUCUCAGCUGCCCCGGUUCACAAGACACCACUCGAAGAAGGUGCAACGCAGCCUUCCUCACGAGUCGCGCUUGACAGCAGCACCAGCACAAUUCGUGCAGCCCUCCACCCUGCGCUCUCCAUGGGCCAAGGGAGAGUGAUUGGAAUGGGAAGAUGGCCGCACAGCGGGGUGAGUGUGCGUGUUGGGGGACUAGCCUGUUGCCUCACCUCUGACACACGGUCUCCUCGGCACUCACACGAUCGCCGACUCCUCUGUGCCCCUUCCUCCUCCAACGCCUUCAACACUUCUGCCUCCCUCCUUCUCUCUGUCUCUCUUCCUGUGACGUGUGCGCCUCCCAUUCGCUGGGUAG
rnacentral:misc_RNA from 1 species